UACGAAUCGUCCAAACGUUGUUCGGAUUCACUGGGUUUAAAGGGUGCGUAGGUGGGUAGGAAAGUCAGUGGUGAAAUCUUCGGGCUUAACCCGGAAACUGCCAUUGAUACUAUUUAUCUUGAAUACUUUGGAGGUAAGCGGAAUAUGUCAUGUAGCGGUGAAAUGCUUAGAUAUGACAUAGAACACCAAUUGCGAAGGCAGCUUACUACACAGUUAUUGACACUGAGGCACGAAAGCGUGGGGAUCAAACAGG
rnacentral:rRNA from 1 species